rnacentral:lncRNA from 1 species
UUGUUUUGUUGAAGAAAAUGAAAAGUUUUGAAUAUUUUAAGUUUAUGUAUUUGAUUUUAUUUUUCAUGUUGAAUGCUGUGCUCUAUAAUUUUAAAUUAAUGCAAAGUCGCCAUCUUUGGUACAAAAACAGAAUACGAAAACAUAAUCCAUCACAUAAGGUACUUUAGGAAUGGAAGGCUUUCCUUAUGUGAAGGAGAACUUUUAUAUUUUUAUUUUCUGUGCCCUAUCCAACUGCUUCCUAGAUAAGCCAAUAAAGUAAGGCUCUUCGCUGCUUCAAGGCUUUUGUUCAACUUGAAAUGAUUAGGGUUGUUGCGCAUCAUGAUUUAUGAGGAUCUCAUGCUGUUCGUGCAUCCUUUUCAUGUGUCAAUUCAGUACCUAGUACCUACAAACGGAUAAUAGUUUUGCAAAUAAUUGGUUAGGUUUAUGUGCAUCAACAAUAAUUACGUGUUAAUCCCAAACUAGUUGAAACCAGCUAUAUGAAUCCACAAUAUUGAUUUCGUUCCGCCUACUUAGGUUCUUUGUGAUUGUUGAAAAUCUGUUGGAUUAUUGGAAUCUUCUUUGAAGCAAAGAAUUCUAAUGGUUGUAGUAUGUGUUUUAAUCAUCUCGUCUUCUCAUGCAUUUUGAAACCAUGAAGCUGCUUAUAUUAUAUCAUGAUAAUGGUUUGUGAAGUGCAUGCAAUUAUAGGACAAAACAAGUAGAAUAUAACACGGACUCGGAAGAAAGUGGAGAUGAUGAUGAGCAAGCUCAUGGUGCCUCCGAUGAUGACAAUGAAGGUAAGGCCUGAAGGACUAGUGAGAAUUUAAGCAUUUUACUCUUAGUUGUUGUGAAAGUUAUUGCCUGAUAUUUUAGUUAUCGAAAGCUAUUGCUGGGUGUUUCAUGUUCUUUUGCACUUAUAUUCCAUAGUCUUUCAGUUCCUUUAGAUGGCUAUUGCUGAUUCUAAGUAGUUUUGGGCAAGAAUGGUAACUUUUAACACAUAUAAGUGAGAUUGGAAACAAAUGGUCUUUCAGAAAUGUCAACUCUCUGGAUGAUCUCAAAUUAGGUUGGAUCUUUUGCAUCUUCUUAGUCAAGUUUAUCAUCCUUAGUAGAUUAGGUAUGAUAUUUGAACAGUGAAGACAAUAAGAGAGUCAAAGCCUGCAAUUUUUGAGUGGGAAGAGUACCACAACAGUUUCUGCGUCUUCAACAUACCAUUCGUAUUCACGAAGAACUUAGGUUGCAGGCACCAGUACAACCUUCUAUCCUUUCUUGUCAAUUCAUCAUUGUCUUUUUUUUUAGCAUAAGCUUUAACGUCGGGACUUGUUAAGUAGGUGCCCAAAAUAUUGAUUCCCGAGGGAUUACCUGUAUGGAGAGAGCUAUCUUUUUGUCAGAUGGGUUUUCUUAUGCUCUCAAUGAACAGGAGUAUGUUAAACGCCUUGCUACUAGAUCAAUGACUUUAGGAUUCUUUUCUCCAUUGAUGCAACACAAGAGUUGGGGGUACGCAACUCGAUCGUAAUAACAUCAUUUUCUGCGGGUUUAGUAUCUGCUUUUCUAGUUAAAACAUUUUGCUCUCCUGGAUUUUGUCACUUGGUGUCAGUUGGGUUUAUUGGUUACUGAUAUACUGAUACAUGUUAAAUUUUGUGUACAUAGCUGGUGUUUGCAUUGACGAUCUAAUAAGAGAAUUAAGAUUUGAGAGUGUCUUAUUGUCGUAAAAAAUGUUUUAUCCAGAGAGAAAAGAAGUGUUUGUUAUGAAUUUUAGUAGCUGUUUUAAAAAUUUCAAUUGAAGUUAAAACAAAAGAGUAUUUGAAGUUGAAAUUGAAAACAAGGUGUUUGUACGUUGAAGUUAUGUUUGGCCAUGAAUGUCACUUCGCCUUCAAAUCAUUAAACCAGUAUUUUCGGCGUUCCACUUGAAGUUCAAAUACUGUCUGAGUGGAGUAUUUGCAAAUAAUGAAUGCAAUAUAUCGUUAUAGGCCCUAAACAUGCAUGGUAGAGAAAUGAAUUUCUCUUUUCUUCUUUUAUGUUUGUCUUCAUAAAGUAUUCCUUCUAGCUUGGUUAAUUAUUUAUCUAUUGAUGAAAAGGGGAAAAUUUUUAAGAUUCAUAACUUCAUGAUACUCGUCUGCACUAAAUAAAAUUAAGCAGUAGAGAUUGAAUCAGAUACUUUAUUCGCAAAGGGAGUCCUGCUAUUGCCUUGAACCAUUCUCACUAACACUGACAAAAGUACUUUUAAAUUGAUUAACCAACACAAACUCUAUUUUCAAAAAUAUUUUCUCGAAAUACACUUCAGAAAAAGAAAUACUACUUAUUAAAAUAAAUAUUUUUUGAAAAUUGGGCAACAAAUUGGAGUCCUAUAAAUGUUCAUAAUAUUCACAUCUCGGUCUCACUAAGGUCAUAGGAAGAUAAACUUUAGCUUGUGAAGUGCUAUGUGCUGUAUUAGUAUCGGAUGUAAUGAAUAAAGAAACUCCCAAAUCCCUUUCUGUCUCUUUGCCUUCAAACUUUCUUUUCUGAGCUUAAAUAGGGAGACAAUAGAUAACUUAGCGUGGAGCUAUAUCUUGUGACUUAUUAUAUGUGAGUUUUUGGCACUUGUUUCCUUUGAGGUGGAAUUUUAUUUUGGACUGAUAUCUGUUUCUGGUAGUAGCGUCUACUGAUCAGUUUGUCCUUUUUAUUUCCUUUCAAUUUUGUGUUUGGAAAUAGAAAGUGAUAGUGAGGCUUCUAGACUUAGCAAACCUGGUGCUAGUCUACAUGUAGGUGGUGUCGGAAACCCGGGGGGACGGAUUGGAGGUGCCGAAACUGAUGACGAUAAUUUAGAGGCUUCAGGUUCAGAUGAAGAACGUCGGAAACCCCGGGGGACGGAUUGGAGGUGCCGAAACUGAUGACGAUGAUUUAGAGGCUUCAGUUUCAGAUGAAGAACAAGAAUUGAGAGUAAAUG